UGGUGGAGUGAUUUGUCUGGUUAAUUCCGUCAACGAACGAGACCCCUGCCUGCUAAAUAGUUGGGUGAAUGAAUCUUCAUUGACUGCAGCUUCUUAGAGGGACGUGCAUUCCAUUGGAUGCAGGAAGACAGGGGCAAUGACA
rnacentral:rRNA from 1 species